rnacentral:rRNA from 1 species
AGAGUUUGAUCAUGGCUCAGGACGAACGCUGACGGUGUGCUUUAGACAUGCAAGUCGAACGAGAAAGCCCUUCGGGGUGAGUACAGUGGCGUGCGGGUGAGUAACACGUGGGUAACCUGCCCCUCGCAGAGGGACAACCGGGGGAAACUCCGGCUAAUACCUCGUACGCUUGCCGGGCCGCAUGGCACCGGCAAGGAAAGGUAGCUUCGGCCAUCCGGCGAGGGAUGGGCCCGCGGUCCAUUAGCUAGUUGGUGGGGUAACGGCCUACCAAGGCGACGAUGGAUAGCUGGUCUGAGAGGAUGAUCAGCCACACUGGGACUGAGACACGGCCCAGACUCCUACGGGAGGCAGCAGUCGGGAAUCUUGCGCAAUGGGCGAAAGCCUGACGCAGCAACACCGUGUGGGCGACGAAGGCCUUCGGGUCGUAAAGCCCUGUUGUUGGGGACGAAGGACGAAGGGUUAAUAGCCCCUAGUCUGACGGUACCCUUCGAGGAAGCCCCGGCUAACUACGUGCCAGCAGCCGCGGUAAUACGUAGGGGGCGAGCGUUGUCCGGAAUUAUUGGGCGUAAAGAGCGUGUAGGCGGUUCGGUAAGUCUGCUGUGAAAUCCUGGGGCUCAACCCCGGGCGUGCAGCGGAUACUGCCGGGCUAGAGGGUGGUAGAGGCGAGUGGAAUUCCCGGUGUAGCGGUGAAAUGCGCAGAUAUCGGGAGGAACACCAGUAGCGAAGGCGGCUCGCUGGGCCAUUCCUGACGCUGAGACGCGAAAGCAUGGGGAGCGAACAGGAUUAGAUACCCUAGUAGUCC